GAUGAACGCUGGCGGCGUGCCUAACGCAUGCAAGUCGAACGGAGAUUACGGACGGAAGUUUUCGGAUGGAAGCCUGUAAUUCUUAGUGGCGGACGGGUGAGUAACGCGUGGGCAACCUGCCCUAUACAGGGGGAUAGCAGCUGGAAACGGCUGGUAAGACCGCAUAAGUCGGCGAGACCGCAUGGUUUUGCCGGGAAAUGAGCAAUCAGGUAUAGGAUGGGCCCGCGUCCGAUUAGCCAGUUGGCAGGGUAAAAGCCUACCAAAGCAACGAUCGGUAGCCGGACUGAGAGGUCGGACGGCCACAUUGGGACUGAGACACGGCCCAAACUCCUACGGGAGGCAGCAGUGGGGGAUAUUGCACAAUGGAGGAAACUCUGAUGCAGCGACGCCGCGUGAGUGAAGAAGUAUUUCGGUAUGUAAAGCUCUAUCAGCAGGGAAGAUGAUGACGGUACCUGACUAAGAAGCCCCGGCUAACUACGUG
rnacentral:rRNA from 1 species